GAUGAAGAACGUAGCGAAAUGCGAUACGUAAUGUGAAUUGCAGAAUUCAGUGAAUCAUCGAAUCUUUGAACGCACAUUGCGCCCUUUGGCAUUCCGAAGGGCACACCUGUCCGAGCGCCGUCGCACAACUGAGGCGCAGCCUUGCGUUGGCGGGCGACUUGUGAGUAGCGAGUCGCCGCCCAAACGAGACGGCGCCGCGCCGCGGCCGACGAAGCACGAAAGCGGAAGUCGACGCGGAGGCGGUUGCCUGUAGGAAGACACAGCUUGGCCUCGGAUCAGGUGGGGAUACCCGCUGAACUUAAGCAUAUCAAUAAGCGGAGGA
rnacentral:misc_RNA from 1 species